CUCAAAGGAAUUGACGGGGACCCGCACAAGUAGCGGAGCAUGUGGUUUAAUUCGAAGCAACGCGAAGAACCUUACCUAAGCUUGACAUCCCAAUGAUAUCUCCUUAAUCGGAGAGUUCCCUUCGGGGCCAUUGGUGACAGGUGGUGCAUGGUUGUCGUCAGCUCGUGUCGUGAGAUGUUGGGUUAAGUCCCGCAACGAGCGCAACCCUUGUCUUUAGUUGCCAU
rnacentral:rRNA from 1 species